rnacentral:rRNA from 1 species
UACGAAGGGGGCUAGCGUUGCUCGGAAUCACUGGGCGUAAAGCGCACGUAGGCGGCUUCUUAAGUCAGGGGUGAAAUCCUGGAGCUCAACUCCAGAACUGCCUUUGAUACUGGGAGGCUCGAGUCCGGAAGAGGUGAGUGGAACUGCGAGUGUAGAGGUGAAAUUCGUAGAUAUUCGCAAGAACACCAGUGGCGAAGGCGGCUCACUGGUCCGGUACUGACGCUGAGGCGCGAAAGCUAGGGGAGCAAACGGG